CGUGAAAUUGUUGAAAGGGAAGCGCUUGUGACCAGACUUGUGCCCGGCGGAUCAACCAGCGUUCUCGCUUGUGCACUCCUCCGGGCUCAUGCCAGCAUCGGUUUUCAUAGGGGGAUAAAAGCCUUGGGAAUGUGGCUCCUCCGGGAGUGUUAUAACCCAGGGUAUAAUACCCCUAAGGAGACCGAGGUUCGCGCUCUGCAAGGAUGCUGGCUUAAUGGUCAUCAGCGACCCGUCUUGAAACACGG
rnacentral:rRNA from 1 species